rnacentral:lncRNA from 1 species
ACUCCUAACGUUUGGUGCACUGCCUGCAUGAAGCUUUACCCUUGGUUUUUGAGCUAAUGUGUCAGUUUGAAUGUUGCGAUAUUGUGGUAAUUUGUGAUAUCGAUCUCCCAUCAAAAUUUGACUGUGGUAAUCUGUUGCAGAGGAAUCUCAAGAAUUGGCUUGUUAUUUCAACCCCAUUCAUCUUUCUUCUUCAUUCUCAUGCAGUCUGUGUUGAGGUAUUUCAAAGGAUUUAGUUUAUCUUAUAACUUAAUAAAUUUACAUUCUCCUCUGAUUUCAAAAGUUAUUUCAAACCAUAAUACAAGAAGAGAACCCAUCUUCAGAAGCAACAUUUCUUAUAAAUAUGCUUAUUGACUUGUAGCCUGAAUGAAGAGAACCUAUAAUUCCCUUGGUUUUCCUGUCAAAGGUUGUGCUUUCUCUAAAAGCUUUUGCAUCCUUGGAAUGAAACAGGGAAGUUAUGCAUCAUCGAGCAGAAAGCCAUUCCCUCACUAAGUCAUAGCUGCAGAUGUUUAUCUUACCUUUAAUGCUGCUCUGGGAUGCCCCUUCACCAAGCACCCCUAUCUACCGACUCCCCACCUUAAUCCCAGUGACCCCUCCUUUUCACCCAUACGAUCACCAUGUCCUCCCUUCCCUCAGCCACCAGUGGCCACAUCUAGAGAACACAUCUUCCACCAAGUUGUGCCACUCGUCUCCAGCAUGCGAAUCUCGACUCUCCUCUUUGCCAUGCAGAUGCAUAGCUUGCCAUCUCUCUCUUUCCGAUCUCCCAACCUGACCAUUCUCAAAUUGCUACUGAAGGUGGAGCUGUGACAUGAUGCUUAUCCAGGGUGGGAGACUACAGUAUCUUUGUCGGUGCCACCCCACUAACAGCCACACUAGUCCAGGAGCUCUCCGCCGCACCUGGUACCUCUCUGGAAGUACAACAUUUGAUGUACACCAUUUGCCUUUGAGGAGAACUUCAAAGAGGUGGAGUUGGUGUAGAUCAAGCCUUUGAGGAGAACUUCAAAGAGGUGGAGUCGGUGUAGAUCAAGCAAUGGAAAAAUUAUGACCGCCCGAAUCUGUUUAUGGAUAGAAACAGCAACAAGGGCAAUAUGUAUGCUUAUUUGUUAAUAUUGUGUUAAGCAGAGGGGUUGUGCUCCAUAAGGUUGACAGGCUCUGGUAUAAUGUACUAAUGACUCGAGACAGCCCACUGGCGGCAAUAUAAUGUAUUAAUGAAUCAAGCCAGAAGAAAAGACAGCCAACAAUUGAGAUGGGAAUAUAAUGUACUACUGAACCGAGACCAC